rnacentral:rRNA from 1 species
UAGGUGGUUGAUGGUGGGAGUAGUGAUAUGGUUGUGUGAAAGAUUAAGGGAUGGAUGUGUGAGUAGAAGGGGGAAUAAGGUGAAAGGGGGAAUGGGUGAUUAAAUGAGUUAUGGUUGGUUGGAUGUUAGGGAGAGUUAGAUGGAUAAGUGUGGUAAUUGUAGAGGUAAUAGAUGAAGGUGGUGGGGGGAGGAGUGAUGGAAGGGUGGGUUUUAUUAGAAGAAAAGGAAUGGGUGGGGUGGUGGGUGGGUUGGGUUGGUGAGUGUGAAUAAGUUUGGGGUGAUGGGAGGGUGGGAGGAGGGGGGAGGGAUGUUUGAAAUGUGUGGGUUAUGAAGUUUGGAUGGUAGGUUGUGGGGGUAGGAUGGUUGUAAGGGGUGAGGGGGAAUGAGGGUUGGAUUGGGGAGAGGGAGGGUGAGAAAGGGGUAGGAGAUGGAAGGAAGGGAGGAGGGGGGGAAAUUAGGGAGUGGGGGGAGGGGGAGGUAGUGAGGAAAAAUAAGGAUACGGGAGUGAUGGGAGGGGGGGUAAUGGGAAUGAGAAGAGUUUAAUGGUUUAAGGAGGAUGUAUUGGAGGGGAAGUGUGGUGGGAGGAGGGGGGGUAAUUGGAGGUGGAAUAGGGUAUAUUAAAGUUGUUGGGGUUAAAAAGGUGGUAGUGGGAGGUGUGUGUGGGAGGGUGGGUUGGGUGGUUGUGGGUGUUGAAGUGGGGGGUGGGGAGGUGGUGGGGGUGGGGGUGUAAAAGGGUGGGUUAUGGUUGUUUGGUGGUGUUGAUUGAGUGGGUUGGUGGGGGGGGAGGUUUAGUUUGAAGAAAUUAGAGUGGUGAAAGGAGGGGGUUGGUGGGGUGAAUAGUGUGUGGAUGGAAUAAUGGAAUAGGAGGUGGGUUGGAUUUUGUUGGUUUUGAGAAGUGGAGGUAAUGAUUAAUAGGGAGGGAGGGGGGGAUUGGUAUUGGGAGGUUAGAGGUGAAAUUGUUGGAUGGUGGGAAGAGGAAGGGAUGGGAAAGGAUUUGGCAAGAAGGUUUUGGUUGAUGAAGAAGGAAAGUUAGAGGUUGGAAGGGGAUGAGAUAGGGGGGUAGUUGUAAGGAUAAAGGAUGGGAGGUAGGGAUGGGGGGAAGUUGGUUAUAUGAGUGGGGGGGGAGGUUGGGGGAAAGGAAAGGUGUUGGGUUGGGGGGGAAGUAUGGUUGGAAAGGUGAAAGUUAAAGGAAUUGAGGGAAGGGGAGGAGGAGGAGUGGAGGGUGGGGGUUAAUUUGAGUGAAGAGGGGAAAGGUGAGGAGGGGGAGAGAGGGGUAGGAUGAGAGAAUAAGAGGUGUUUGUUGAUUGGGUGGGUGGUGGUGGAUGGGGGUUGUUAGUUGGUGGAGGGAUUUGUGUGGUUAAUUGGGAUAAGGAAGGAGAGUGUGGGGUGGUAAGUAGGGGUUGGAAUGUAUUAU